GAACCUCCAUGGCUGACUAAUUUUUUGUGUUUCUAGUAGAGGGUUUUGCCAUGGUGGCUAGAGACUGGUCUCAAACUCCUGGCCUCAAGAAAUCUGCCAGCCUCAGCCUCUCAAACUGCUAGGAUUACAGGUGUGGGCCACCACACCCAGACAAGGGAAUUGAUUCAUAUGAUUGGAGCCUGGUAUAUCUGAAAUUUUUAAGAUUUUUUUGUCACACUGAUCAAUUACUGAAGAUGAAAUUCUUAUACCAGAUAGAAAUGAGGA
rnacentral:lncRNA from 1 species